rnacentral:rRNA from 1 species
CCCUUAGAUGUCCUGGGCCGCACGCGCGCUACACUGAUGCAUGCAACGAGUUUAUAACCUUGGCCUGAAAGGUCUGGGUAAUCUUUUGAACGUGCAUCGUGAUAGGGAUAGAUUAUUGCAAUUGUUAAUCUUGAACGAGGAAUUCCUAGUAAACGCGAGUCAUCAGCUCGCAUUGAUUACGUCCCUGCCCUUUGUACACACCGCCCGUCGCACCUACCGAUUGAAUGGUUCGGUGAAGAUCUCGGACUUCGAUAUUUAUUCUUUAUUGAGUUUAUGUUGUGGGAAGUUAUCUAAACCUCAUCAUUUAGAGGAAGGUGAAGUCGUAACA